rnacentral:rRNA from 1 species
UCCAGACUCCUACGGGAGGCAGCAGUGGGGAAUAUUGCACAAUGGGGGGAACCCUGAUGCAGCGACGCCGCGUGGGUGAAGGAGCACCUCGGUGCGUAAAGCCCUAUCGGCAGGGAAGAAACAGACGGUACCUGACUAAGAAGCCCCGGCUAACUACGUGCCAGCAGCCGCGGUAAUACGUAGGGGGCAAGCGUUAUCCGGAUUCACUGGGUGUAAAGGGAGCGUAGACGGCGACGCAAGUCUGGAGCGAAAGGCGGGGGCUCAACCCCCGGACUGCUCUGGAAACUGUACGGCUGGAGUGCAGGAGAGGUAAGUGGAAUUCCUAGUGUAGCGGUGAAAUGCGUAGAUAUCAGGAGGAACACCGGUGGCGAAGGCGGCCUGCUGGACUGCGACUGACGUUGAGGCCCGAAAGCGUGGGGAGCAAACAGGAUUAGAUACCCCUGUAAC